rnacentral:rRNA from 1 species
UACGAAGGGAGCUAGCGUUGUUCGGAAUUACUGGGCGUAAAGGGCGCGUAGGCGGCUUUGUAAGUCAGAUGUGAAAGCCCCGGGCUUAACCUGGGAACUGCAUUCGAUACUGCCGUGCUUGAGGACUGGAGAGGAGACUGGAAUUUACGGUGUAGCGGUGAAAUGCGUAGAUAUCGUAAGGAAGACCAGUGGCGAAGGCGGGUCUCUGGACAGUUCCUGACGCUGAGGCACGAAGGUCAGGGGAGCAAACGGG